UCAACCGUUAGGCUUUCGGGGGAUACUACCAGGCUUGGGACCGGGAGAGGUAAGAGGUACUACGGGGGUAGGAGUGAAAUCUUGUAAUCCCUGUGGGACCACCAGUGGCGAAGGCGUCUUACCAGAACGGGUCCGACGGUGAGGGACGAAAGCUGGGGGCACGAACCGGAUUAGAUACCCGGGUAGUCCCAGCUGUAAACUAUGCUCGCUAGGUGUCAGGGACGGUGCGACCGUUUCUGGUGCCGCAGGGAAGCCGUGAAGCGAGCCACCUGGGAAGUACGGUCGCAAGGCUGAAACUUAAAGGAAUUGGCGGGGGAGCACUACAACGGGUGGAGCCUGCGGUUUAAUUGGACUCAACGCCGGAAAACUCACCGGGGGCGACAGCAAUAUGUAGGUCAAGCUAAAGACUUUACCAGAAUCGCUGAGAGGAGGUGCAUGGCCGUCGUCAGUUCGUACUGUGAAGCAUCCUGUUAAGUCAGGCAACGAGCGAGACCCGUGCCCACUGUUGCCAGCAUGUCCUUCGGGAUGAUGGGUACUCUGUGGGGACCGCCGAUGCUAAAUCGGAGGAAGGUGCAGGCUACGGUAGGUCAGUAUGCCCCGAAUCUCCCGGGCUACACGCGGGCUACAAUGACUGGGACAAUGGGCUCCUACCCCGAAAGGGGAUGGUAAUCUCAUAAACCCAGCCGUAGUUCGGAUCGAGGGCUGUAACCCGCCCUCGUGAAGCUGGAAUCCGUAGUAAUCGCGUUUCAACAUAGCGCGGUGAAUACGUCCCUGCUCCUUGCACACACCGC
rnacentral:rRNA from 1 species